rnacentral:rRNA from 1 species
CCCAGACUCCUACGGGAGGCAGCAGUGGGGAAUAUUGCACAAUGGGGGGAACCCUGAUGCAGCGACGCCGCGUGGGUGAAGGAGCACCUCGGUGCGUAAAGCCCUCUCGGCAGGGAAGAAAAGCGAACAGGUUCGCCUGGACGGUACCUGACUAAGAAGCCCCGGCUAACUACGUGCCAGCAGCCGCGGGAAUACGUAGGGGGCAAGCGUUAUCCGGAUUUACUGGGUGUAAAGGGAGCGUAGACGGUGAUGCAGGUCAGAAGUGAAAGCCCGGGGCUCAACUCCGGGACUGCUCUGGAAACUGUAAAGCUGGAGUGCGGGAGGGGCAGGCGGAAUUCCUGGUGUAGCGGUGAAAUGCGUAGAUAUCAGGAGGAACACCGGCGGCGAAGGCGGCCUGCUGGACCGUAACUGACGUUGAGGCUCGAAAGCGUGGGGAGCAAACAGGAUUAGAUACCCGCGUAAC